AAUGAGCAACUUCAAGUGUGACUUACAGAAGGUGCUGAUGAGAUUUGUGCAAUAGAGAGAAGUUGUUGGCCACCAGUAGUGAGUAUCAUGGGAGCGGUAGAUGAGCUUGUUGAGGUUUUCUCUGAUGGACAACCUAACAACAUUGUUUUGUUCUCUUUUGCCCUAUUGUUACAACAGAUAAUAUGUUUAGUAGCUUGGUUAGAUGUAAUUUAAAGCUGUACAAUAAAUAUGAGAUGUCAGUACCAGUUGAUGAGUGCCACUGCCUGUGGGUAAUUGGGAUUCACACGUAGUGUGGAAUUGUAUCUAGUUUGCAGUGACAACCCUGUAUAAAAUAUAGGUUGUACAUUGUUUUGUUAUUGUAUAACAUUAUGUUGGCAAGAAGUUGACUGUCUAUCUACCUUGAUAAGUAGAGAUUCCUAUACUUCUUGCGAGGAUGACAAGCAGAUCUGGUUCUGUUGCCAUUUUAGAGGCAAUUUCAUGUCCUUCUAUUUCGCCGAAAUCCUCCCAUAGAGUGAACAGAAACUGACUUUUCCUGACAGUGUGAGAACACAAAGACAGAAGAGUAAGUACCAGGCUAAUGGUUAGAUGAUAAUUGAUGAUGUGAACAUAGAAAGGGAAUAAGUGGUUACUGAUUCGAAAUAUUUGCAGAAAAGGAGUAAAGAGAAUGUGAAAUGUUAUACUUACUGAUUGUCACAAAGGGUAAUUUCUCGACACCUAUGAUGACUGCGACCGGCGUUUUUUUGAGGACCACAACGAAGAACAAUUGCUAGUAUAUCUGCGUAUGUAAUAUAUAUAAUGAAUUGUUGCAAGUGUUUUGCAGCAGUGCAGAUGUAUAUUUCAGUCUGAGAAUAGCUAUUACGAUGGAUAUACCUAUUUCAGCAGCAGAAUCAACCAUCAGAUGAGGAAUGUGGUCAAAGGUUGUGAUAUUCAGCUUCGUUGGCGGUGGAAGUGCAUUUUCAACUUCGUGAGAUGGUUUGAUUUGUUCAAUUACUGUUUCUUUGUCAAGAAUCCAGUAAAAUUUAUGUAUUGGCUUGCCGUAUGAAGCUUGGGAGGCUUUCACUCUUGCAGUAGAGAUCAGGUAGGUAUGGAAGAGUUUAAGUGUAGCUGCAUACUGCUCAAUUUCGUCAGCGUACAUAACAGCCUUAAUUUGGCAUUCCUGAAAGUAAGAGUUAUAGAAAGUUGAGAUUAACUAAGUUGAGAGGAAAAGAGCAAUAGUGAUAACAUAAAAUAUAACAAUGAUCUCACCUCUUCAUCUUCCAAAAUCAAAUUUUGGAAUGUACAUUUCUUGUCAAGGCUUUCUCGUGGGCGUCCUAUUUCGACAAUUUGAACUUUGCAAAUCCAAUCCCGUGUCGCUAGUUCUAUUUGGUCAAUGUUAAGUCAUAGUACCAUGUUUGUAGGAAAUAUAGUUAACCAAAUAGUAGUAUCUGUAGGAUAACAUGAAUGUUAAUUCAAAGUACUCGUAAGUUGAGUAGUAAGUCAAAGUACGUGGUAAGUUGACUGACAUGCAACAUUGUUUCAGGUGUUUACAAAAAAGGGGAAAAAGAAUGAAAUGAAAGGAGCAGUGUGGAGCAAAAUGCAUCUUCCAGCUGUGUAAAUGAGAUUUUCUUGUAGAAACAAAGCAUUAAGAAACUCUUGUAAAAGCAACUUAGGAGAAAGAAUGAAUGUACAGUACAAACUCAUAAGAGACGACCUAGGAUGUAUGAUACUAUUGACUUUUGCUGUUAUCUUGAUGGGGUAACCAUUUAUGUGCUAUUAGUUCUUUUUCAGUCAUGAGAUACUACUGUACAAUUGUAGAAUGUUGAAGCAGCAGUUUGAUAAUUGGAUACAAAGAAAGGAGCUACAGCCAAAGUGAGCAAACAAACUAUACUACUUUAGUGUUGUACUUGUUACUAUUGGGUGAUAUGAGAUGUAAACAGUGGAAAGAUAAUAAAGUUUGUAUUUUGCAAGCAAAAACAAAAUGAAGAACAAAUGAAAAGAAAAACACAGUCUUGUGAUAGUAGAAGUAGAGUCAUGUGUAAAUUUGUUAGGGCCCUUUAGCGAAGCGCAAUGAAGACAUUAAAUCAGUUAGCAGGCAUUAUUAAUGUGCAAAGUACAGUUGGACAAUUAUUUUUUGACAGAAAAGCUGUUAUAGGGACAAAAAAUGUUGCUGAAUAUUAAAAGAGGAACAAUUAUCUCUGAAACUCAGGUGAAAUGACUAUACAUUUAGCAAAAACAAUAUGAAAAACUUUAUUCAUAGAAACUAAACUUUGAUGGUACUAUUUAAAAUUUAAAAAACAAGAAAGCCAAAAAAAAGAAAACAAAAGAAAACAGCUACUGUGGCGAUAUUUUGAUGAUGUUGGGGAUUAAGGUAAAAGCAUACUCCUGGGUCCAUGUUAUAUCUAUGAAAGAUUGAAUACUAUUGAAAGCAUUAAAUAUGAGCUAUGAAACAGGAAACUCAUAAGGGAGGUUAUUACUUUGGGUUUUACAUUUGCAAUAUCAGUACAAAUGUAAUACUAUAGUAAUUGACUUCCAACUAAUAACUACAAUUUUGUGUUUUUUUUUUUUCUGUUUUGGUGAUAAGCAGAAUCUGGAAGAAGAAUUGAAACUGGGAAGAGGGAAAAGAUGAAAAGGGAAGAAAUAAUACCUGAGAAAGGGAGCAAAAUUUGUUCUUGAAUGAGAGCCUAUUAAAUUUAUGUUGUAUCAGUAAUAUAUAUAUAAGGGUAAUAAUAUUAUAUAUAAAAAAAAGAAAGAUAUAUAAGGGUAAUAUAUAUAUAUAUAAAUAUAAAAAUAUGUAUUACCUUACCCUUAUCUAAUUUAUUAUUUUUAUUUAUUUUAGAAAUAGAGAAAUUAUAAGGGACAAAAAAAUUACAUGUGUCUUGUUAGAAAUGCAUGGGGAUUUGGUUGCCAAUGAAAUAGUGCCAAAAAAGGCAGAAAAUCAGUACAUUUGGUAGUCCAAAAAGAGACAAAAUCAUUACAUUUGAGUACCUACUGUAAUGAUUUUGUCUGCUUUUUGGCAUUAUUUCAGUGGCAACCAAAACUGCAUGAAUUUGUAUGAAGACAAUUGUACUUUAACUGUUCUUUGUAAAUAAGGAUGAAAAAGAUUUUUGUAUUUAUCUAUCUAUCUAUCUAUGUACAUAUAUAUAUACUCUCUCUCUCUAUAUAUAUACAUAUAUAUAUAUAUGUGUGUGUAUAUAUAUAUAUGUGUGUAUAUAUAUACACAGAGAGAUAGACAGACACAUGAAAUCAUGUGUCAUUUGGUUAGUAUGGUAGCAAAAAUGGUAAGUCGACAAACAGACAGAGAUCACUACUGUUGUAUUGGUAUAAAAAAAAAGAUAAUUUAGAUUUUCUUAAUUUGCAAUAUAUGUUGAACAAUGGAUAUAAAAACAUUUAGAAAUUGAGUAAAUCAUUAUUGCUAACUUGAGAUGUGGGUUGAAUGUGAGAGAUAACAAACGAAAUGCAAGAAUAAGCGUGAGAAAUCAUGUGUACCUGGUUGCUUUGAAUGGUGUCUCUUCGUUUCUAUGUUGGAAACAUUGGUAUUGAGUUGAGCAGAAUUACCAGCAGAAGGCAUGGGAUGCAAUGUCUGGAUAUCAGGACAAUUAAGCAGAUUCAUUUUUGUACAAAUGAAGUCUGUGUUAUCACUGCUUGCAGCUACACUCAUGUGACCAUGUUAAUCUUACAGUUUGAAGUUAAAGACAAAGGAAUACAAACCACAUCAAGUGCACACAAUUACUACAUCAAUGUCUAGCACAUUUGCAGUUCCACAUAAAUACUUAGGAGUUAGGUUUAGGUCCAAAGUGAAGUAAAUAUUACAACAUACAGCAUAGAUAACUAAAGCUUGAGCAUAGCAGAAAAAGCAUGAGUGAAUAACUGUAAGUCCCUAACCAAAAUUGAAAAGCAUACAGAAAUUGAGCACAUAACUUAAAAAAAAAGGUGAACAAGACAGAUAUAAGCAUAAUAAUACUUUCAUGUCUUCAUUUAUCACUUCCAUUUCCAUUUCGAUUUGCAGUUGAGUCAACCAAUGGAGGCGUAGGUGCUGACAAUUGCCUUUCCUGAAGAUGUCCAUCAGCAGCAAAAACUUUGGCAUUCGGUUGUAUAACAUGAUCAUCCUCUGCCUCCAAAGCUUGUACCCUUUUUUGGAUCAGUAUUGCAUCCACAACACGAUUUUUAGCAGCUUCUUUCUCCUGAAUUGAUACUGUACUUUCCAACUGUUUUGAACUUUUCGAAAUACAUCUUGAGUUUUGCGUGAACUUGAGCUUCUUCAUUUUUUAGGUUCUCAUUUUUCUUUUGCAUAUGUUUCAAUCGAUGGAGAAUUGAUUGAAGGAUAUGCAGAAGAAAAAUGAGUAGCUAAAAAAUGAAAAAGCUAAAGUUGAGGCAAAACUGAAGUUGUAUUUGGAAAAGUUCAAAGAGUUGGAAAGUAGAGUAUCAAUUCAGGAGAAAGAAGAUGCUAAAAAUUGUGUUGUGGAUGCAAUACUGAUCCAAAAAAGGGUACAAGCUUUGGAGGCAGAGGAUGAUCAUGUUCUACAACUGAAUACUAAAGCUUUUGGUGCUGAUGGAAAUCUUCAUGAAAAGCAUCUGCGGUAAAUCUGAGGCAGUCUUUACAGAAUGAAAAUCUGUCUUAAUGACAUAUGUGCUGCUACGUGUGCAUCAGACAGCAAACCUGAAUUUAACAGUUCCACAUAUGGUAAUAUUUGAAGAUUAACUAUACCUUCAAUUGAUUCUUUCAAUUUCCCAAGUUCUUUGGUAGUAGUUGAAUGCCGAGAAUAAGCUGUAAUGUAGCGAUGAUCCAGAUUCAACGCUUGUUGCAGUCAUUGUGUACCUCCUGACACCUAAAUACAGCCACACAGAAAGAGGUAAGAAAGCUUGUAAUUUUGGAGUCUUACCUACGUUACUUAAAAGAACAAUGAAGUGCACUAAAGUUGUGUUUUGAUUUGAAGAUAAGUGAUCGCUCUAUUGGCAUAAGACACUGCAGUUGGUGAAAGUGCAAUGGUUGUACGAUAGCAAUGAAUGAGUUUAUUGAAGUAUUUGUGCCUAAAGCAGUCAUUACGUUAGGAAGCAUCAUAAAAUGCAGCUUAGCAGUUAUAAUGAUGAAGCUUUGCAUUUUAAAAAGGGCUCAAGUAAUUUGAAGGAUCUAAUGUAGCAGUUCUUUUUCUGAAUUCGCAUUCAUGUUGCUCUGUUGUCAUAUUAGUUGACUUGUUAGAUGGCUAAUUGGAUUGUGAUGUUUACAAUAAUUAUAUGGACCAACUGUACUUUUGAUGGAUAACAUUAAAUUGAGGAUUAGUAAGAAGUUCAGGACUACAGCUCCACUGUUCUGUGUCUGCAAGAUUAUUAGGAGAAAUGGAAAAUGUUUUUGAGACAAACUGUUUACAAAUAACUGACAGCAGCAGCAGUUGACAUGGGCAAAGUAUGUGUGUUGUAACUUGUUCAACAAUGGAGAAAAUAUAGGUACCAGGUUGACAGUAAGACCAAAACUUCUGCUGUUGUUAACCACAUGGCUAACAAAUGUAUAAAUGGUUACAGACACAAAAAUGAACAGAACGUGCAGAAUUAUUCAGAUAUUAACGAAAAAUGUAGAAAUAGUCUUGAAGAAAGUUAACUUAACAAGAGCAAAUGUUAGAAUGAUUAUCACAAAUAAAAGGUGUUUGUUUAGGGCAUUACAUGUAUGACUGAAAAUCACUUGCAAGUGCAACAGAAACAUAGAAAAGUUGUCUUAGAACAUAGGGUAAAGGAAAAUGAGAUGUGAAAGAAAAGUGAAUUUUCAAAUUCAAUGAUGGAGACAGGAUUUUCACUAAGGUUAUACAAAGUAUAAAACAAUCAGGAAAACUCAGAGAAUUUGAGAAAGAAACAAAUUAACAGAGAGUAGUUGAAAAGUGGUAAUAAAAUUUCAAGUAGAUAUGAAGGAAAAAAGGGCUGUUUGAAUGUUUGAAGGAAAAAAAAAUUGCGCCAUUAUCAGAAACAUCAAAGAUGAAUCUUUGAUGUACAAAAGAAAGACAAUAAAGUCAGCAAUUUUGGUCCUGAAAGAGGAGAGUUUAGGUUGUUUAUGCUGGAAUGUUCUGAUGGUCUUUUCAGCUUUGAGAUUGUGAUGUUCAAAUGUAGAUAUAAAUGCACAUUUGGACGUGUUUAACAGUGAAGUGACUACAUUUAGAAAUGAAGUAAAUCAUUAGUGCUAAGUUCAGAUACCAUUGUUUUAAUUGUUAGUUGAUGUGAUUGAAUUAAAAGUAAAUUGUGAAUUAGUAAUAUUGGGAAGAUGAGACAAUGAAAUAAAUAUUUGAAUAUGCAUGCAAAAUUUGUCAAAUGAAAACAUAGAAGCACCGAAGCAGGAAUGUAAAAAGUGUUGGCAGGGUGAUGUAUUCAGAGUAAGAAGAUGAAACAGCAAUAGUAGAGGAUUGUGUUUUGUACCUACCAAGUUAGCAUGAGAGCUAAGUUUGUGGAAGUCCACUAACAACGUUGUUUUAUCCUUGCGGCAACUAUGUAUGAUUCCACACAUGCAUUGUGGUUUCUGCGGAUGAGAGUAAAGCACAGUUAGCAAGAAAUUCAUUCAUCGGUUCGUAAAUCCAGAAGGUAAGUUUAGGUACAUGAAGUAAUUACUUUAACCAUGAUAGAGACUUAAUAGAUAUUUAGAUAAGUACAAUGUACUAUACAAAGUUAGAGCAAAUGAAGAAGCAACCUAAUUGUUAGAAAUUUACAGCAAAGGAAGAAACAAAGGAAUUUUUUUUUUUGGGUUAUUAUAAACAAUGAGAGUACAGUCUGACCAAUACAAAGAGGUAGGAUAAACAGCAACAUAGAAAAAUGUGGUAACUCCUAAAAUGUUUGAUAGAGGUAAAAGUUGAUCAACUUGAGAGGCACAAAAGCGGAAAACAUUGUAAUAGAAUUAUGAGUAAUACAGAUAAUUUGAUUAUGGACAGAGUUGGAUAUAAGCAAGUAUAAUGUUAUGGUAAGGAAAAAGUUAAAGAAGCUGUUAUAAUGAAAUUACAGAAGCUGAAACAUAGUUUAAAACUGUAUUUUGUUUUCCAAAAAAUAUUGAAAUAAUAGAGUAAGAAAUCACCCACUUAGCGUAUGAGCAAUGGAGACAUUUGGCAGAUAUUUUGAGUAUGAAGUUCUUACAGUUCAUUCCUGCAAAAUAGUUUCAUUUUGUUGUGUUCAUUUUGAAAAAUAACUUAACAAUUUGAAAGAGUAAAGAACAAAGAGAACAAACUGAAAUUGUUUCUGCAACUUUUAAAAGUAUUGGAUAAUUGUAUUUUUAUUAGCUUCAUGUUGAACUGAUUUUCAGAUUCGAAAUGACAUUCGGUGAAUUCACUACCCUUCUGUAUAGCCUCAUAUUAUUGUUGGACAACAACAAAAAUUUUAUAACUAUUAUUAGUUGUACCGUCUUUAUGCAAGUUGUGCACCUUAGUAAAAGAGUUUUCUGAAAAGACAUGUCCAAGAUGAGCACCCAAAUUGUUGUUAAUUGAUAAGACUUGUUAUUUUUCAAGUGAAGUGAUUAUAUCUGAUUGUUCAAUUUUUGGUAACUAUUUUCAACUGUAGUGGCUUUCUAUAAUUUGCUGUAGUUGUUUCUCGUAAGUACUUCUAGUGGUUGACAAAAGUUUUGUGGGGUUCCAUCACGACUAUUGGUGUAUGAUAUGAACUUCAUCAUCCACAUGUCCAAGAUGAGCACCCAAAUUGUUGUUAAUUGAUAAGACUUGUCAUUGUGACUAUUGGUGUAUGAUAUGAACCUCAUCAUCCAAACAUGAUAUUGGCAGAAGGUAAUUGAACAUAUUUUUUCUUAUAUUUAGGCGUAAAUUAUAUUUUGUGACGUCUUGUACAUGUUAUAGUUAGAUUUUCAAGUGUUCUGUUUUGUGGACUUCAGUUUCUCAAAAUGGUGUAAGGAUGUCAAUAGUCUACAUUUGUCUAAUUGAACUAUGAACUAUGAUAUGUAGAAGUCAUUGCUUACUAUAGUUGGAAAGUGUAAUACGUCAACAUGUGCUUGCCUCAUUAUAGGCAUGGAAGAUACAAAUUACAGUAGAAAGAGAAAGAUAAGACGUUUAUGAGAUAUAAAAUAGGUAAAAAUAUCUGUAAUAGUAAAAUAAUAGUGAAAUAUGAAAUGAUAACAUACCUGAAGAAUAUACCUCUGGGCGUCUACAGAGUGUAGAUGAGUUGCAGUAUGUAUAACAAUUCUCCCAAAGAGUAUGCACUAUUACAAACAAGAAAGUCCAUUUUUGUUUAGCAUAAACAAAUUGUAAGGAGUAGUCAUUUCCAUAUUGCUUAUAGAGCAGUUAACAACAGAAAAUAAGAACAACAAAGAUAGAAGAGGAAGAAUAAAAAGGAAUUACAAUGUGGGGUUAGUU
rnacentral:lncRNA from 1 species